CGGAGCGAGCCGGAAGCGAGGUGGCCUCUACUCUGUGUUGGGAUUUGUCUCCGCCUCCAGAAAUCGAGAGGGCGGGAGGAGAACGCUGAAGUCUUGGGAUUUUUACCUCCUGUGUGAAACGGAGAGAAUGCAGUAUCGGAAAGGUGAAAUAAGGAAAGCCAGAUUUAGGCGUCCGAAUUUAACAGAAUAAUAGGUUCACCUUCUCUCCUCACCACCCCACCACUUUGAUUCAUGCUGCCACACUUAGUCUCAUUUCUUGUGACACUUUGUUUUACUUUAUAUUGCUGGCUCAAGUGUUAGCAAGAUAAACUAUAUCACUGUAGGUUAGCUAUAGCAUAAGAUUGGCUAUGUUAUUUUUUGACAUAAGGAAGUAGCAGAACAUAGGGAUAAAGUGCUUGGCAUCUGGAGUCUGGCAGUCUGAAUUUGAAUUCUAGAGCAGCAAGACAAUAAUAGUUGCUACCUCACAGGGUUAUUGGAGUGAGGAUUUAAUAAGAUAAUGUCUGGCCCAAAGUAAAUGCUCAAUGUGUUUAUGCUAUUAUUAUUAUCAUAUGUAUUUUGGGAACUUAAAGGGACAUGAUCACAUUUUAAUUUUUAUUAUGAAUUCAUGUCUUAUUUCCAAGACAGACUUGAAAAUGGGGAUAUUUGGGACCAAGUAAGACAAAGCACUGGAGACUGAGAAGUAAUGAGCAGGAGAGCUUGGUGGUGCCUCUGAAUGUCCCUCCUGCUUUUCCUUUAGAACUACCAACAUAGAUGUGGCUUCAUGUAUUUUGACACUGGCCUAAUUAGGAUUGUUCCCUUCCUUCGAUAAUACAACAUCUCAAAAGCUGACAUAGUUCUGAAUUUAUGUGUCUUUGUUCUUAAGCCAAAGUGUUGUUCAUAAAAACAAAAUAAAACAGAAACCUCCACAUGAGCCUCCUCAGGGAUCAAGGAUGUUCUUAACACAUCUAAAACAGUGCACAUAAUUUUUUGUACAUUGAUAAUGCUUAAUCAAUAUUUGUUGAUGAUGUUAAUAAAGUGACAUAUUUGUUGCCAUGCUUGGAAAAUCUCAGCAGGAUAGACUAGGUUGAGGAGCUGAGUCUAGUCAUUUAACCAGGUCACAAUCCCAUAAAGCAUAGAUGAGCCCGUUUCAUACCUAAUCCAUGAAUUCUACCAACUUAACACUGAUCAUACUUUGACCUGGGUAAUAUUUCCAAUUAGUGGCUCUACAUUUAAAAAGCAGAUAAAAGUGUGGAGAAACUAGACAAUAUUAAAGAGAAAUACCACCACCACCACCCCCAAUUAAGUAAAGGAAAAUAAGAAAGAUUCUUUGAGGAAGGUUUGGAUAAGUUGGUUAGAGAUGGGUAAUGACCAAUGGAAAGAGCUAAUAAUUAGAUCUAGAGAAAGUCUCAGUAAUGAAGAUGUGAAGCAACUGGAAUAAUAUCUUGGGAAGUUAAAGAAAUUCUACCAUCAAAGAUCCCAAACCCAAGAAAUCCAAAGUGUCGUGGCAGCAGCUGUAGCUUGCAGUUCAGUUAGACCCUUGAUAUAUCCCCUGGCAAGAGUGCAUCCUCUUUGGGGACCUGGACCUUCGACCCUGCAGAGCCCAGAGUUACAGAGAUGAAAGCAGCAUGAAAUUUCUGUGGGUCAGUAGGAGUGAUGAUGAGAAUGCGGCCUGGCCAACGCUUUGAUUGCAGCCUUGUGAGACCCUGAGUGGAGGACCCAGAAAAACUGUGCCUGGAUUCCUGAUCCACAAAAACUCUGGAUUCUCACAUCUGCUUUUGCAUUCAUCCAUUGUACUAUGUUGUUUUGCUAAACUAUGUAAAGAGAACCUGGCCUCACAUAGAUAUGUGGUUUGAAAGGUAAGAACCUAAUAGAUACUGUGAAAGGGUUUGUGGGACCACCAGGUUCCUCGAACCAUACUUGACCUGAUCAGUGCAUGCAUCUCUCAUUUCUCAGGUCACAGUGGUUGAUUCUGAGAUCAACCCUAAACACAAUCAGAUAUGUUUGAUGGGAAUGUUGGCGUAUGAAGACAGGGCCCUCCUCUGCUGGACUUCUUCCUGAGAGGGUAUAUGGUUUGGCGUUGUUGCAGUCACCUUACAAAAAUGUGAGAGAAAUUUGCCUGAAAUGAGCACCAAGGUCUAGGAGAGAUGGAAAUGGAGAAAGAGAGAGAAACUUUGGUUCUCUUUUCAUCAUCUGAGUUCUGAUAAGCUGCACAUUAAGCCAUAACAGCCCGUUAUUUCUCAGGGCAGUUUAACUGUUCUUGCAGAUUGUUAGGACAUCAUCAGCAAGGCCAAGUACUUGUGGAGGGAAGGGGUUUCGGCACACCGUUGUGGCCGGAGGAGCUCCUGAAAUAAUCAGAGCUGUGGAGGACCCAGUGGGUCACAAGCUGGUCAAAAUCCACGGGAAACUGUAGAGGAUAUUAAAAUAGAUGAAUAAAUGAAUUAAUUUAAUCCUCCACUUGGUUUUGAAUCUCUUUGUUUUUUAGAUAACUGCUCAUGAUGAAAGGAUUGUGGCACAUGGCUCUCGCAUUUUGUUAGAAAGCAAAUGAAGAAUUUGUUGUUUCUCAUUAUUAGCUGUGUCCUAGGUUCUCGACUCCCCUCCAGACAAAUUUCACCUCACAGGCGAGACUGAAUUUCUGGAGGUGGAUCAAAAAAGAUCUUGCUG